CCUCGCAUGCACGCAGCUGCCGGGCCCGGGGCACCCUCGCGCUUGAGGCCCCGAGGUCCGCGGGCCAGGCCCGGCGCGCAGCCGUAGCCGCCGCCGCCGUCUGCCUCGGGGGGUUCGGCUUUCACCAGGCGGCCCGGCGGCGCCAGCAGGAAGCGACCGUGCAGCGCUGGCCCCGGCGGCACGUCCAGCUCGGGCCGCAGUAGCUCGGACACCAAACCGCCCGCGGGGGCGCCGUAGGGAGGAGGGGCGCCGGGCUCAGUGUAGUAGAACGCAGGCGGCGGGGGCGGCGGCGGCGGCGGCUCCGGGGCGGACUCAGCGCCCAGGCCGUCCAGCCCCAUGGACAGGAUGAAGUCCAGCACGCUGUUGAGGUCGUCGUCCGUGCCGCCUGCCUCGGGCUCUGCGCGCGGCCAGCGCUGCGGGUGACAGAGCGAUAGGCGCGGGCGUGAGCGCGCGGUGGGGCCGGGGAUCGCUGCCCGCUGCCUGCGUUCUACUACCCUAAGCCCGCUGUCCCUGCCGCCUGCGUUCUACUACCCCGCAGCCCACGUUCUACUACCCUGAGCCAGCCGCCCCCGCCGCCCGCGGUCCCUGCCGCCCUCACCUCCUGCAGGCCGCGCUCCCGGCACGGGCUGGCGAAAGUGGAGAAGGACGGUAGGAUGGGCUCGCUCAGCGCCAUGGCUGGGACCCGGGGCUGACGCGGAUUCGGGACACCGUUCCCCGAACAGGAAUAGAAGCCAUGUCCCCUGCAUUGGAAGCACAGAGUCUGGACUGCCAGGAAAGUCCCUGCUGUACAUGUUGUCUGUGGCUGCUCUCAAGCUACAAUGGCAGAGUUGAGUGGUUUCAGCAGAGACUGAAUAGUUCACAAAGCUGAGCAGCUGUACCUUGGCAGGAAAAGUUUGUGGACCCUGCAAUUUCUCCUCACCUCGUCAUCCGGGCUCCAGUCCAGCUGAGCCCCCUCCAUCUCGCCCGGGGAUGCCAGCACCAGCCUCUUGUUUCCUCCCCUGGUGGAUCAUACUGCAGUAGAGUGUGAGCAUCACUCCUUCAAGGUGUGGCCUGUAAACAUCACUGAGGAUGGCGUGUUUAGAUCUAAGUUCAAAUAUCCCCUCCAAUGGCCCCUUUAGUUCAGGAGCUCUCAGCCUCAGCACCACUGACUUCUGGGGCUGGAUCCUUCUCUGUGCUGGGGGCCGUCCUGUGCAUUGUAGGGUGUUGAACAGCGUCCCUGGUCUCCACCCACCAGAUGCCAGUAGCACCCACCCCCCACCAAUAAAACCAAAAAUGUCUCCCGACAUUGCCCAAUGUUCCCUGGAGGUUAAAAUCGCCUUCCCCUUCUGUCUGACCCCACCUAUCCUGGUUUGGUAGGUGGCAGAAAGGGAGUGGGAGACCUACCCCUCCUCCCAUGGACAGACCAAGGGAUAGACUUUUCACACCUAACACCUCUCCCACCCUUCAGCACCCUCCUGUGAGAUGUGAAUUACUCGCCCCUUUAGCAGAUGGGUAAACUGAGGUGCGGUGAGGGAAGCCAGUAACCUGUCCUUCUGCUCCCUGCCCCCUCAGGCUUUCUCCGGACAGCAGAAAUUACAGCCCUCAGAGCCCCAAAUAGCUCCUUUCUCUCUCCCUUCAAGGCAGUCGCUGAACACACUGGCUUGUGGUUCAGACUCCAAAGCUGCAGGGGUAAAAUAAGAGAUUCAAAUCUUGUCCGCUGGAGAGCAUAAACUUCAAAGAAGGCAAAGGGGUCUGGUCCCUGAUGAUGGGGGCCUGAUUGUGUUUGCCCGCUGCCUUGGGGAACCACAAAAAGUGUCUGAUGGGGAGAGUCAAAAUGAGCCCCUGAAUGGGGGGCUGGUGAACCCCCUGGGCUGUUCUGCUCAGUGAGUUCAGAAGGAGGUUCCUACAGACUUUUCGGUGAGAAUGUGGGACCCUGAGAUGGCACUGGGUGCAGCCCAUGUGUAGGCAUGGCUUAGAGGUCUCCUCCUCCAGGAAGCCUCCAGGAAUGCAUUCCUUCCAUCCUCACAUAGUCCCCUUUACAAAACUCCUCAGGGUCAGGGAAGCCAUCCCUGGGCCCUGAUGGCUCCUCACCAACUGGCCAGACAAGAUGUCGAGGUGAGGGAGCCCCAAGAUGGGUGUGGAGGCUCAGGCUGGUGGAGCUUUGCAGUUUCUCUGCAUUUUCAGAAAAUAGAAGGUGAGUUAAGCUGGUCAUUUUCAAUUCUGCCUGAACAUUCAAGUGCCCCCAGGGAGACCUUAAGAUCUAUGAUCCCACCACCUGAACCCAGAGAACACAGUUAACAUCACCAGCAAUGGGACAAGCCAAGGUCAGGUGCUUCGGAAUACGAGGCACCAGGGAGAACCAGCAUGACUCCUGCAGAUCCUGCCCCAAGACACACAACUGAGCUGGUCACCAGGAACCAGCAGGCCAGCCCGCCAGGGGAUGUGCUGCAGAACAACUGCCUGGACUCUGCAAAAAUGUCAAAUAUGAAAGACACGAGAAUCUGGCUGAGAAACUGCUCCUGAUAAGGGAGGCAAGAAAGACAUGAGAACAAAAGAUAGCAGCGUUUGAGCGUUCCAGUUGAUCCACGCCCUGAGAGUCAGCGUUUUUAUCUGCCUGUUUUACCCAGAGCCAGCCCGGGCUCAAGCAGGUGCUAAAAUAUUUGUUGAAUAUGUGAACAGAUGAACGACCGUGAUGACUCCUGGGGUGGCUUCUGAAAUGCACGGAUGGGACCUGGACUAAAUCCGCUGAGUGUUGAGGAGGGAGACACCCCCUGAAGUUCGGAGACCCUGGGGCAUCCGAGUCAAGGUACAGCUCCUAUGUGCUGGCCACCAAACAGUCCUCAGCUCAUCUGCAGCACAAGUCCCAUUUUACAGAGGGGGAAACUGAGGCUCCGAGAGCACCCGGAGGAUGCGGCAUUAGCAAGGACUCUGCAAGGGCCCCAGGGACAAGGCAAGAAGGCUCAGUCUGCACUGAGGCCAGAUAAGAGUGGUUGGCCUGGUUUCAGGGGACUUGGUUUGAACCCCAGCUCUGCUGCUGCUGCUGUGUGAGCCCGGGCAGGGCAGCCACUGCCCUGAUCUCCCCUUUCGUCUUCCAUGAAGGAUUUAUUGAGGGUCUUGUGCACGUGGAGGUCAUAGCUGUGCACAUGGAGGUCAUAACUAGGACACUUGGUCCCAAGUCAAAUUCUAGGAGUUGGUUUGUUUGAAUCCUGUUCCAAGCCAAUGUGCAAGGACCUAGAGUCUGUCAUACAGAGUGAAGAGCUGGGGUCACACGCGUGUCCUGUAGUUUCCCCAAAUCUGGAUUUUGCUGCUGGCGUCCCUACGUGUUGCUCACUUUGCUGUGACUCAAGGUUGAUUUUCCGGCGCGUUGACCCCCUUGAGACACGGGACGGGUCACUGAGCUCCAUGCCAUCAGAGGGACCCCGCAUCGUCACGUCCUGUCCUCGCAGCCUCCAACGACUUCUGCCUGGAGCCACGACCUCUGAGGGGGCUGCAUUUGGGGCUGGAGAGCUGUCGUUCUAAAGCCAGAGUCUCUCUUGGUGCAGCCUGGAGGGUACCGCUCCUGUCCCAAUGGACCCCCAUAAACAAAGGAUUUCUUCCUCGGCUUCGGGUUUCUCAGAAAAACCGCCUCCGCGGUCCCGGGUUAUGAAAUGCACCCUGAGCUGACCAGGAAGACCCUGUGGGACUCACUGCCUACCGAGUGCCCCCUGCAACAGGACCGGAAAGGACCCCUCAUAACUUGCCUGGGUCCCCAUUUUACCGAUGAGGACCCAGAGGCCAGUGAGCUCAGACUGGGACUCGAACCCGGGAUGGCUGCCUCUUGGGCGCAACGAUCCUUCCUACCCUGAGGCGCACGGGGCAUCAGACCGGAAAGACAGAGACCCUGGGAGAGUCAGGCAGGCUCACGUUGCACCUCCACCGUUAACAUGUAGCCAAGUAGCCUGGCCUUGCUGGGCAUCAGUUUCCCCCUCUGGCAAAUGGGCUGAGCGUUCCCCCCUCGCUCCAUCAUAAACGCUCCUGCUUGUGGCUUCAGUGGCCUUUGCAUACGUCCACCCCGUGUUGUCAGCCUCCCCUUAAACCCCUCGAUGGCAUAGCUUUGGUUUCAGGAUAACGUCCAUGCUCUUCGCUGUGGCUUUUGAGGCUGUAUGUGGCCAGUCCCUGCCCCCCACCCCGGACCCGGGUCUCUGCCAGAUCCUCAGACACAUGAGGCUCCCCCAGGACCCCAGGCCUUUGCACUUGCUCUUCCUGCCUCCAUCCAUGCCUCUGAACCUCAACCAGUUAUUCCCUACUUACCUGUCAGUCUCAGCCUGACGUCAAACUGCCUUCUUUCCUUUUCUGCUUUUUAAAUGUUUUCUUCAAGUGUAACAUAUAGACAGAAGAGUGCCUAAAUCCUAAGUCUAUGGCUCGAUAACUUUUCACAAAGUAGACACACCUGUGUAACCAGCACCCAGCUCAAGAAACAGAGCAUUCCCAGCCCUAACCCUUCCUGCCAAACUUCCUGGUGGGCUCAACAGUUUUGAAUUGAUGAUUAAUGAUUACAUGAGGGGCCCUCUGUCUCUGAUGUGGCUGUCCAAUAAGCUGCCGGGUCCUUGGGCUGCAUUAAUAGAGGUAUAGACUCUAGAACAAGGGAGGUGAUUUCUCUCCCCAUUCUGGGUUGAUCAGAGCAGGCAGGCAGCUUCCCCUGCCACUCUGAAAUAGGACAGACGGACAGCGGGUUCAGUGAAAACCACCGUGGUAUGUAUGUGUGCGUGUAUACACUUCAGAGCGGUGCCCUGGGAGAAGGCACUGGAGGCUUUAAGGCAUUUAACUUAGAGAAGGACAGACCCAAGUCCCUGUCACCUCAUCCGGGUGGUUCCAUGGCAGAGCAAGGCAGGGUGCAGGUCCGCUCUGAAGGAGGCGCGGGUUCCAGGCUAGUUGAUGGUAGUGAGCAUCCCGUCAGGAGAACGAUGGCAGCCUGAUGCCCAGGGCAGCAAGGAGAGCAGGAGCUCAUUACUACAGGCUGCCCAAGACAGAGAUAGUCUAACGCCUUCCCUCACACCAGGCCCUGUAGAGAGGAGGGGGAGGGGGAGGACUGCAGGGGACCUGUGGCCAUGCUGAGACCUUUCUCAGGCGGGGAGAUGGAAGCCCAGAACCUGCCCAAGCUCAUUGGGCCAAAACUGGCUUUCCAGGCACAGGCCGGCCUUGGAGCUCCGGCUUUGGGUGGAGCUCAGGUCAGGUUAUAUCUGGCAUGGCCGUUCCCUUUCGCCGGCUGCAGCUGCCCGGGGUGGGGGCCGCUGGGCACGCUCCACCACCUGCACUGGCAAGCGGCCGCAGGUGCUGGGCCGGCCACUUUACAUAACCACGCUUGGUCUCCCCUGCCUUGCUCGCUGUCCUGCCCCCUCGCCUCUCACCAGGAAAGGGCCAGGGGUCUGAGAGCAGGCGCCGACUCCGAGCCCCAGUGAACUCUUGAGUAUUUUUAUUUCACUUCUGCGUUUCACUUUUACUGGUCUUGGGCAAAAUGUGCGUGCUAGUCAGACCCCAAGCAGUAGCCAUUGGGUUAGGGACGGUUCUGUUCUGUGUCGACCAGGCUGGGGAUGGGGGAGCACACAGACCUGGGUUUGAAUCCCACCCCUGCCACUGGCUGGCUGUGUGGCCUCUGGAGCUACACUCAGCCCCUCUAAGCCUCCUGAGAGGUGCAUGGGGUGUGGGAAGAGACCUCGGGCCUGGGUUCUGAUGUGACCCUGCCUCUGGCCUGCUGUGUAGCCUCAAGCAAGUCCCUUCCCCUCUCUGGGCCUCAAUUUUCUCUUCUGUAAAAUGGGAAUAACUACAGCCACAUCCUUGGAAUGUUGUCUCUCUGAUCCAGCACUUCUUCAGGGUGUGGCUGGGUGCUUGUGCAGGAGAGGUGAGGCAUCCUGGAGAGUGUGGACCAGUGGCAUGUCCUUGAACUUGAGAAGCUUGAGCUAUAAGGAUCUCACCAUGUGGCUAGUUUAAAAUGCAGAUUCCUGGGCACUUCCCAGGGUCAGGAGGGGGCGGGUUGGCCCUCAGGUGUCAGCAGGCGCCACAUCAGACCGAGAAACUUUAGGAAAGGCUCUGGGACCCGAGUUUGUGUUGCCCGGGACAGGACCGAGGAGGGCUGUGGGGAGGGGAAAACCGAGGGCCAGAGAGGUGAAGUCAUUCACGCUGGGUCGCUCAGCCGGCAAGUGGCUGCACUGGGAUUGAAUGGCGAGUCGCACACACAGGCCCUGGCACCUCCAGCGAGCCUGGCGCUGGGGCGCGCUCUGCUCUGAGCACCCAGGUGUUCACGUUCCAUCGGCCUCAGGGCCAGCGGGAGCUGCCGAGGAAUGUGAAGCUUCAAGCUUCCCCCGGGAACAACUGGCAGCCUGGUCGGGGUUUAUAUAGUGGCUCCCAAAAUAUCUGGCCGCAGAUAGGCUGAGGCAGGCGAGGGCGCGGCUGGCCAAUGCCGUGGCUUCCUGUCCUGCCAAGAUGUUUCCUGCCGAUAGCCAGGCCCAGUGGCCUUAUCUAUGACCCUGGGGCCGCCAGAAGGACAGCACCCCCUACCAGGGGACAGGCUGUUCUGGCCCGGGGAAGGGGCUGCAGGGACCCAGGAGAAGGUCAGAGAAAGCAGCAGCCCUCUGAGGGUGGUGGGUAGUUAGGUCAACUCACACGUUUGGGGAAGGAGCGUUGUACUCGGAGCCCAACUGCCCCAGGGUUGAGUUGCGACUUUGGGGCUAAAUGACUGUGUGACUCUCGGGAGCUGGGUCCCUCUCAAAGUCACCCUCAUCCAUCAAGUGAGGAUAGCGGUGUCUCCAUUUUCAUUUAACAUCCCCCACCCUGGCCCCCCCAGCCUGGACCUCAAGGAGCCCCAAGUCUGGGGGAGACAGAGCUGGACACAGAUCCCGUCCCCAACCCUGCAGCAUCAGGGCUUGGCUAGAAGGAGGGUGGAGGCUGGAGGAAUUCAGGUGUCUGUCUAGGGUGGCUGCCUGGAGGAAGGAUACCACAGCUGGGGUUCAGUGGAUAUGUAGGAGCUCAUCAAGCAGAAGACAUGGAAGGGAUGACCAGGCUGAGGGAACAGUGUGUGAGAAUGCUUGGAGUCAAAGUGACACUCUCCCCAUUUCACAGCGAAGGAAGCUGAGAUUCCAAGAGGAAGUGAUUCCAUGGCUCUGAAACCUGGCUCUUCCUCCUGUACCUGCUGCCGAGCUCCUGGGAGGAGACAUGUUCCCUCUCAGUUGAGACCCUGGGACAUGGGGGACUUUUUUUAAAAAAUUCAAAUUUGAUUUUACUGCAGCCCAAACAGUACAAUUAACUAUACAUAAAUAAACUAUAUAUAUAUAUAUGUAUUAUGUAUAUGCACACACAUUUUAAGUUACAGGAAAUAACAAAGUGAAUAAAAUUUUCUAGGAAAUAACGUU